rnacentral:rRNA from 1 species
UACGAAGGGGGCUAGCGUUGCUCGGAAUCACUGGGCGUAAAGCGUAUGCAGGCGGAUCGUUAAGUCGGGGGUGAAAUCCCGAGGCUCAACCUCGGAACUGCCUUCGAUACUGGCGACCUUCGAGUCCGGGAGAGGUGAGUGGAACUCCGAGUGUAGAGGUGAAAUUCGUAGAUAUUAGGAAGAACACCAGUGGCGAAGGCGGCUCACUGGCCCGGUACUGACGCUGAGGCGCGAAAGCGUGGGGAGCAAACAGG